CAGAGCCUUCCUUGGAGAGGCGACCACAUUGGUUCCUAGGAUUAAACAUAAACUGGAGGAUGAUGACAGUCUGAGACCGGGUCAAGGACAAAAGCAUGGUGAUGGUGAGAGGGACAUGGAAACAGUUCAACCAGAUGAAGAGGAGAGAGGGGAGGAGAGAAAGAAUGAGACUGUAUCGGAGGAGCUUUUUGCAGAGGGUGAUGAACUGAAGAGGAGCCUAAUUCAGAGUACCUUGUCCAUCCAGGAAAAGACUCACAAAGAACUGGAGAUGUAUAGGGAUAUGCCUCCUAUAAUGACCUCUGAAGACCUUGCUCUCUGGUGGUAGAACAGAAGAGACAAAUAUCCUUUGCUGUCAGACCUAGCCCUCUCAUACCUGUGUGUACAGGCCUACUUUACCCCCAGAGAAAGGGGUUAUUUCUACUGCUGCAGAUACGAUCAGCCCAGAGAGAUCACGCAUUCUUCCCGAGAAGGCCAACAUGCUGAUUUUCUCCAGAAUAAUUGUUUAUUUUGCAUUGCAGACAUCCAUUCAUCCAUUCUCUUGACAUUGU